rnacentral:RNase_P_RNA from 1 species
GGUGCGGUAAGAGCGCACCGCGGUUCUGGCAACAGGACUGGCAAGGUAAACCCCGCCUGGAGCAAGACCAAAUAGGGAAAGCAUGAUGGCGUGUCUUCGCGUCGCUUUCCGGGUCGGUCGCGUCAGGUGAUGAGCAAUCAUCAUCGCAGAGGAAUGGUCGCCAAUCCGCGUUUACGUGGUGAACAGAACCCGGCUUACAGGCCAUCUGAUCCU